rnacentral:tRNA from 1 species
AAACUUAGGAUAAUACGAACCAAAG